UACCAGCACCCCGAGUGGUCGGGACGAUUAUUGGGCCUAAAGCAUCCGUAGCCGGUCCUACAAGUCUUCCGUUAAAUCCACCUGCUUAACAGAUGGGCUGCGGAAGAUACUAUAGGGCUAGGAGGCGGGAGAGGCAAGCGGUACUCAGUGGGUAGGGGUAAAAUCCUCUGAUCCAUUGAAGACCACCAGUGGCGAAGGCGGCUUGCCAGAACGCGCUCGACGGUGAGGGAUGAAAGCUGGGGAGCAAACGGG
rnacentral:rRNA from 1 species